CCUGCCUCAUACAGGGGGAUAACAGUUGGAAACGACUGCUAAUACCGCAUAAGCGCACAGGAUCGCAUGAUCCGGUGUGAAAAACUCCGGUGGUAUGAGAUGGACCCGCGUCUGAUUAGCCAGUUGGCAGGGUAACGGCCUACCAAAGCGACGAUCAGUAGCCGACCUGAGAGGGUGACCGGCCACAUUGGGACUGAGACACGGCCCAAACUCCUACGGGAGGCAGCAGUGGGGAAUAUUGCACAAUGGGGGAAACCCUGAUGCAGCGACGCCGCGUGAGCGAAGAAGUAUUUCGGUAUGUAAAGCUCUAUCAGCAGGGAAGAAGAAUGACGGUACCUGACUAAGAAGCACCGGCUAAAUACGUGCCAGCAGCCGCGGUAAUACGUAUGGUGCAAGCGUUAUCCGGAUUUACUGGGUGUAAAGGGAGCGCAGGCGGUGCGGCAAGUCUGAUGUGAAAGCCCGGGGCUCAACCCCGGUACUGCAUUGGAAACUGUCGUACUAGAGUGUCGGAGGGGUAAGUGGAAUUCCUAGUGUAGCGGUGAAAUGCGUAGAUAUUAGGAGGAACACCAGUGGCGAAGGCGGCUUACUGGACGAUAACUGACGCUGAGGCUCGAAAGCGUGGGGAGCAAACAGGAUUAGAUACCCUGGUAGUCCACGCUGUAAACGAUGAAUACUAGGUGUCGGGGAGCAUUGC
rnacentral:rRNA from 1 species